GUGAUCCAUUUAUUCCUCUAGCAACACUUUAAAGGAUAUAUUAUCCCUAUUUUAUAGUUAGAGGAAUUAAUAUAACUAUUUUACAGAUGAAGAAUAUGAACAAGAAAGAGGUCAAUUAACCAGCUUAAGACAACAUAGACUAUAAAUGGCAGGGCUAAGAUUUAAAUUAACAAAUAUUAAAUUCCAAACUCUGGGCUUUUCCUACUGAUCCCUAGUAAAAUGAAGUAUGUUGAAAACCAUGUAGGAUCAAUACUUGUGUUUGUAUCUUUUCAGCAGUCAACUGGGCAGAUUCAGCAUUUUAAAAUAGUUUUAAUAUCGCAGUUCUUAGGUUUAAUAAAACCAUUCCCCUAAAACAUGGUCACAAAUGCUAUGUCCCUUAACAAAUUAAUUCAACAACCACCACCACAACAAGUAUUUAUUCAGGGCUUACUAUGUGCCAGGGCAUCUUCUGAGGAUAUAACAUACCUCAAUUAACAAGAAAUGGAAAUCAAAACUUUUUACCAAAACUUUUAAUUGAUGAUCUCUUUCAACAGAAUUUGUGACUGAAAUGAAUCUUGAAACCUCAUUUCUGUUCUUCAUUAUGCUAAGAGCUGGUUAUAUCAUUUUACGGAAAUUGUGACUAAGCAUGAAAGAAGCCCAGAGGCUCGUGCAGAUGGUGCCAAUAGCAAAUAACAUUAACCUCUAAAUUCUUCUUGGUCUAUGGGUGAAGGGACUUGUUGGAAGGGUUAUUUCUGACCUUUUGAUUGGACUUACUGUUUCCCAGACUUACUGUUUUGAUCGGACUUACUGUUUUGAUCGGACUUACUGUUUCCUUACUGGGUUGGAGAACCCAGCAUCCAGUGGGCUAUUCUAUCAGCCAGUGAACUCCUGAUGACAGAAAAACAAGAAACAGGCCCCAAUCUGUUUAUUUUUCUAGAUGCCUAACUUAUUCAUCAAUUAGAAGGGCCAAUGCUUUAACCUGUCUCUUCUCAGCAGUGAAAAGAAAGAAAAAAAGACUAAGCCAGGAAACCUCUUGAAGGCCCAGAGAAGUAGGCACGUAUAUAAGAUGCCCAGACUGGAGCUGCCACAUAGGAGACACUUGGUGAGCUCUCAAGGAAGAUUGGAUGUCUAUGGAGAAUCCACGUACCUAUAUCAUAUUAGUUGGAGCAAAACACAGACUCUGGGAUGAAAGGCAAAAGUGUUAUAAUGAGGCCAAUGGAAUGUGCUGAAUCCGUUCCUCAAAGAAAAACAAAACCAAAUAUCUCUCCAAGUCUGGAUUAUACCAGAGUUUCCAAAUCAUAAACAACCAAUGAAAAAGGGAUCAUAUCAUUAUGCGUUUCUACAAGGCCUUACUGAGGGAAGAUUCUUACCCCGUGAGGGAACCCUUUGCCAACAUUCUGCUCUUGGCUCCUGUCCUCUCCUGUCCUGCUCUGGAACCCAUCACCUGGUGACAAGAAGCUCAUCUCCACGUGGGACAGCCCAUUGAAUCAUCCGAGACUCCUGUUAGAAGUUCCGGUUGCUGUUUCAUUUUGCUUUAUGUUGAGAAAAUACAUCCUUGUAACUAUUUUCCACUGGUAGUUGUUCUUGUUUGCUGGACUUGUGCAUCAGCUCUCACUAUCUUUCACAGGAACGUUUUCUCAACUUUGAAUAUAGUUGAUUCAUUAGCCUGUUCUCAGGCUGCUAAUGAAGAUAUACCCAACACUGGGUAAUUUAAAAAGGAAAG
rnacentral:lncRNA from 1 species